ACUAGCACAGCCUUACUUAUAUCCUGCUGUAGAUUUUCAAGCCAUAAAGAAAAUCAGUGCAUGAAAGACUGUGUUCGUGUAUUCAUUAUGUGAACAAAAUACAGGCUAUGCUCUUACACUUUGGGGAUCAAUGGAAUUGGGUUGAAAAUGUUUUGACACACUUGUUUGCUGCUUCUACACCUAGGAAGAAAGCUAAAAGCAUCUUCUCAGAUACUGCUCCCAUUCCAAGGGUCCACUGGGGAAGCUGGCCAUUUGCCCAUGAAGCCUUGUUCACUGCCUAUUUGAAGAGGCAUAAUGGAGACUAACACUGUGUCUGAGACACUUGGGGAGAAGAAGGUCUCUUGCCAGUGCUGCUCCAUGGGCCCACCCUACCAGAAGCCCAAGUUUGAGAACACUAUCAGUGCAGCCUUGGAAAUGAGCCUCUCCAGGCCCAAGUGGAUCUG